rnacentral:rRNA from 1 species
CCUACGGGAGGCAGCAGUGAGGAAUAUUGGUCAAUGGACGAGAGUCUGAACCAGCCAAGUAGCGUGAAGGAUGACUGCCCUAUGGGUUGUAAACUUCUUUUAUAUGGGAAUAAAAUGUUCCACGUGUGGGAUUUUGUAUGUACCAUAUGAAUAAGGAUCGGCUAACUCCGUGCCAGCAGCCGCGGUAAUACGGAGGAUCCGAGCGUUAUCCGGAGUUAUUGGGUUUAAAGGGAGCGUAGGUGGAUUGUUAAGUCAGUUGUGAAAGUUUGCGGCUCAACCGUAAAAUUGCAGUUGAAACUGGCAGUCGUGAGUACAGUAGAGGUGGGCGGAAUUCGUGGUGUAGCGGUGAAAUGCUUAGAUAUCACGAAGAACUCCGAUUGCGAAGGCAGCUCACUGGACUGCAACUGACACUGAGGCUCGAAAGUGUGGGUAUCAAACAGGAUUAGAUACCCCAGUAGUC